rnacentral:rRNA from 1 species
AUGAACGCUGGCGGCGUGCCUCAUACAUGCAGGUCGAGCGAACAGAUGAGGAGCUUGCUCCUCUGACGUUAGCGGCGGACGGGUGAGUAACACGUGGAUAACCUACCUAUAAGACUGGGAUAACUUCGGGAAACCGGAGCUAAUACCGGAUAAUAUAUUGAACCGCAUGGUUCAAUAGUGAAAGACGGUUUUGCUGUCACUUAUAGAUGGAUCCGCGCCGCAUUAGCUAGUUGGUAAGGUAACGGCUUACCAAGGCAACGAUGCGUAGCCGACCUGAGAGGGUGAUCGGCCACACUGGAACUGAGACACGGUCCAGACUCCUACGGGAGGCAGCAGUAGGGAAUCUUCCGCAAUGGGCGAAAGCCUGACGGAGCAACGCCGCGUGAGUGAUGAAGGUCUUCGGAUCGUAAAACUCUGUUAUUAGGGAAGAACAAAUGUGUAAGUAACUAUGCACGUCUUGACGGUACCUAAUCAGAAAGCCACGGCUAACUACGUG